UCUCCCGUGGAGCAGCGGAACGCUCGCCGCUCUGAUAAGGCGGAGAUCGUGGGUUCAACUCCCACCGGGAGGA
rnacentral:tRNA from 1 species